AUGGAGGUGAGGUCCGAGCAAGGGCUAAUGGCGGGAAGGGAUCUGUUCGGCUUGCCUAAGAGCCAGCCAGCGCCGGCGCCGGCAGCGCCAGGAGCGCCGCCGUCCUCCGCAGCCAUGCAGAGCGUGCGCAUGGCGUACACCGCGGACGGCACGCCCGUGUUUGCCCCGGUGAGCUCUGCGGUCGCGCCGCCUGGUUACCAACCGGCUGGGUCUGCAGCACCACCACAUGGCUCUAGCAUGUCCGCUGCUCGGGCCGCCGGAGGUAAUGGCGUCGCGGCGCCGCCGGGCAUGGGUGAACCGUCGGCGAAGAAGAAGCGCGGGCGGCCAAGGAAGUACGGGCCCGACGCGGCCAUGUCUCUGGCGCUGGUGACCGUGCCGACGGCUGCAGGCUCGCCAGCUGUGACACAGGGUGCUUCUGGGCGGCCGUUCUCACCCACGCUGCCGGGAAACUUCGUGCCGUCGGCGUCGCCGGAUGGAGGAAAGAAACGCGGCCGGCCCAAGGGAUCUACCAACAAGCCCCGCGUGGAUGGUGCUGGGCCGGCAGGAGUUGGAUUCACACCUCAUGUUCUUACAGUUCAAGCUGGAGAGGAUGUAUCGUCAAAGAUUAUGUCAUUUUCUCAGAAUGGGACUCGUGCAGUUUGUGUUCUCUCAGCAAAUGGUUCCAUAUCAAAUGUAACACUUCGUCAAACUGGUACAUCAGGUGGAACUGUAACAUAUGAGGGCCGAUUUGAGAUACUGUCACUCUCCGGGUCAAUCUUCGUAACGGACAACGGAGGCCAGCGUACCCGAACAGGGGGCCUCAGCGUUUCAUUGGCAGGUCCUGACGGUCGUCUCUUGGGUGGAGGGGUCGCAGGACUCCUCAUAGCAGCUUCUCCAAUCCAGAUAGUAGUGGGAAGCUUCAAUGCUGGUGGGAAAAAAGAGCCAAAGCCGCAGGCUCCUUCUGAACCUGUACCACUGAAGGUCGUUCCGAGCACUGGGAUGGCGGCCAACAGCCCCCCUUCAAGAGGCACAUUGAGCGAAUCGUCUGGUGGCACCGCAAGCCCGAGACAUCAAGGCUAUGCGUCCACCAACAAUAACCAGCCGCCGAUCUUGUCCAGCAUGCCCUGGAAAUGA
rnacentral:rRNA from 1 species